GGCCUUUUGAGUUUAAUUUAAGGUCUAGCCUGCCCACUGAAAUUUAAAGGGCCGCGGUAUUUUGACCGUGCUAAGGUAGCAUAAUCAUUAGUUUUUUAAUUGAAAGCUGGAAUGAAUGGUUGGAUGAGAAAAUAACUGUCUUUUUUAAAUUAUAUUGAAUUUUAUUAUUAAGUAAAAAAGCUUAAAUUUUUUUAAAAGACGAGAAGACCCUAUAGAGUUUUAUAAAAUUAAUAAUUGGAAUUUUUAGAAUUUAAAUUUUUAAUUAAUAAUUUUAUUUAAUUGGGGUGAUUGAAAAAUUUAACAAACUUUUUUUAAAAAAAAUUCAUUAAUUUAUGUUUUAUUGAUCCAUAUAUAAUGAUUAUAAGAUUAAAUUACCUUAGGGAUAACAGCGUAAUUUUUUUUUAGAGUUCUAAUCGAAAAAAAAGAUUGCGACCUCGAUGUUGGAUUAAAAUUUAUUUUUGGUGUAGAAGCUAAAAAAUUAAGUCUGUUCGACUUUUAAAAUUUUACAUGA
rnacentral:rRNA from 1 species